rnacentral:rRNA from 1 species
GUAAGGAAUAUUGGACAAUGGACGCAAGUCUGAUCCAGCCAUGCCGCGUGAAGGAUUAAGGUCCUCUGGAUUGUAAACUUCUUUUAUAAGGGACGAAAAAAGGCUUUUCUAAGUCGUCUGACGGUACCUUAUGAAUAAGCACCGGCUAACUCCGUGCCAGCAGCCGCGGUAAUACGGAGGGCGCAAGCGUUAUCCGGAUUCACUGGGUUUAAAGGGUGCGUAGGCGGGCAGGUAAGUCAGUGGUGAAAUCCUAGAGCUUAACUCUAGAACUGCCAUUGAUACUAUCUGUCUUGAAUAUUGUGGAGGUAAGCGGAAUAUGUCAUGUAGCGGUGAAAUGCUUAGAUAUGACAUAGAACACCUAUUGCGAAGGCAGCUUACUACGCAUAUAUUGACGCUGAGGCACGAAAGCGUGGGGAUCAAACAGGAUUAGAUACCCUAGUAGUCC